rnacentral:rRNA from 1 species
GGACUACUGGGGUAUCUAAUCCCGUUCGCUCCCCUAGCUUUCGCCCCCGAGCGUCAGGCACCAGCCAGGACACUGCCUUCGCCUUCGGUGUUCUUCCGGAUCUCUACGCAUUUCACCGCUCCACCCGGAGUUCCGUGUCCCUCUCUGGUCCUCUGAGUCACACAGUCUUUGAAACCCUCGCUCAGUUAAGCCGAGCGCUGUCACCUCAAACUUCUGUGACCGCCUGCGGGCCCUUUACGCCCAGUAACUCCGGACAACGCUCGCCCCCUACGUAUUACCGCGGCUGCUGGCAC